rnacentral:rRNA from 1 species
UACGAAGGGGGCUAGCGUUGUUCGGAAUCACUGGGCGUAAAGCGCACGUAGGCGGAUUGUUAAGUCGGGGGUGAAAUCCUGAGGCUCAACCUCAGAACUGCCUUCGAUACUGGCAAUCUCGAGUCCGGAAGAGGUUGGUGGAACAGCUAGUGUAGAGGUGAAAUUCGUAGAUAUUAGCCAGAACACCAGUGGCGAAGGCGGCCAACUGGUCCGGUACUGACGCUGAGGUGCGAAAGCGUGGGGAGCAAACAGG